rnacentral:misc_RNA from 1 species
AACGCACAUUGCGCUCCUUGGUAUUCCGAGGAGCAUGCCUGUUCGAGCGUCAUUACAACCCUCAAGCCUUGCUUGGUACUGGGCGUCAUCGGCGACGAUGUGCCUUAAAGUUAGUGGCGGUGCUGCCUAGCUUCUAAGCGUAGUAAAAAUCCUCGCUAUAGAUGCCUGGUGGAUACUCUGCCAUAGAAAUUUUCAAGGUUGACCUCGGAUCAGGUAGGGAUACCCGCUGAACUUAA